UGCGCUCUGCCGCCAACCCGCCGCGCCGCGGCGCCACUCCGAUCAAUUAAACCGGCGGCCGGCGGCGGCGGCGGCGGCGGGGCGCCAGUGCCACGCCGGCAGCGCCCCGGGCAGUGUGACCGUGCUGUGGAUCGAACCAGUGCACGAUGCUGUACAACAUGGCGCCGCUGCCGGCGAGUCUGUCCGGCGGACUGCCCGUCAGUCUGGCCGGCGGCCUGUCGAGCCUCUCUGGCGGCCUGCCCGCCGGCCUGUCGGGGCUGCCGGGCGACCCGGCGCUGUUUGCGGCCUACCCGCAGCCGCCGCUGCUGACCGGCAAACUGGGCGACCCGGCCUCGGCGGCCGCGGCCGCGCCCAUCCCGCCGCCCCCGCCGCCACUGCCGCCCACCUGCCGCGAUCCGGACACUGUGAAGCUGUUCAUUGGCCAGAUCCCGCGGCAUCUCGAGGAGCGUGACCUGCGACCCAUGUUCGAGGAGUUCGGUGCCAUUUAUGAGCUGAGCGUGCUCAAGGACAAGUUCACCGGCAUGCAUAAAGGUUGUGCCUUUCUCACCUACUGUGCCAAGGAGAGCGCUGUGCUCGCGCAGAAGUCGCUGCAUGAGAAGCGCACACUGCCCGGGAUGAACCGGCCCAUUCAAGUGAAGCCAGCAGACAGCGAGAGCCGAGGAGAUAGCGCGAACGAAGACCGGAAACUCUUUAUUGGUAUGCUAAGCAAGCAACAGACUGAAGAAGACGUAAAGCAGCUUUUUCAGCCGUUCGGACCGAUUGAAGAGUGUACAAUUCUGCGCGGUGUCGACGGAGUCAGCAAAGGCUGUGCUUUUGUGAAGUUUUCGUCACACCAAGAAGCACAGGCGGCGAUCGAGAGCUUGCACGGUAGCCAAACGAUGCCCGGAGCAUCGUCCAGCCUGGUGGUCAAGUUCGCCGAUACUGAGAAAGAGCGCCAGUUGAGGAGGAUGCAGCAGAUGUCCGGCAACAUGGGAUUGCUCUCGCCGUUCGUCUUCAACCAGUUCGGCGCCUACGGCACAUACGCCCAGGUCGUGGACAAUCAGCAGGCGGCACUGAUGGCCGCCGCCCAGGGGAGCUACAUCAGCCCGAUGGCGGCGCUGGCGCACCUGCCGCACGGUACACUGCCCAGCGGCAUACCGAGUACGAUUGUACCCACCUCCACAGGCUCGGCCCCCUCCGGCAACGGGGUGCUGCCCAACAUGCCGUCACCGACCAUGUCGACGUUCAGUGUGGGCGCGCCGGCCUCGUCUCAGCCCCAGGUGGUGUCCGAGGCGGGCGUCUACACCAACGGGCUGCCGCAGUCCUACCCGGCCUGUGAGUACGUGCUGUCAUCACCGACUCCGAUCAGCGGGGAGGCGCUCCAGAGUCCGCCCUACCCGGGCAUGCCCUACUCCGGAGUCGCCGCCUUCCCCCAGCCCUAUCCCCCGAUCGUGGCCGCGCAGCCGCUGGUUCUGCCGCGUCAAGGGUGCAGUAUAAGCGGCCCGGAGGGCUGCAACCUCUUCAUCUACCACCUGCCGCAGGAGUUCGGCGACGCUGAGCUCAUGCAGAUGUUCCUGCCGUUCGGCAACGUCAUCUCCUCCAAGGUGUUCAUCGACCGUGCCACCAACCAGAGCAAGUGUUUCGGGUUCGUGAGUUUCGAUAACCCGGCGUCGGCACAGGCGGCCAUACAGGCCAUGAACGGCUUUCAGGUUGGCAUGAAGCGGCUCAAGGUGCAGCUGAAGCGGCCCAAGGACUCGUCCCGGCCCUACUAGCGGCGCAAGGUGGCCGUCCGCCGAGCCGCAGUCUCGGCAAACUAAUAAUGAAGCUCAAAUCCGGCUGUGAGACGUUUGCUGUUCUCGGGAGGCCGUCUGUUCGGCAGCGGUGGUAAGUCUGACGGCCGACCGUCGGCGCUGCUCCCCGCCGGUCUAGUCCCUGCCUGCGGUCGGCGCUCCAGCCGAGUCCUCGGGUCGAGCCGCUCCCUGGCACCGGCCAUUGGAUAGCCGAGCCGGCCUGUCCACGAGCCGGACACGCGCCUCACUCUCCGAGAACGACCAGUAGGCGGCGCUGCGAGUGAUUUAGAGUUGAAGGUGGCGCUAGCGUCGUCCACGGCCGGCCGCCGCCCGACCAGUCUUUAUACCGAGAGUAGUGCUGUAGCGCGGGCCGCCGCGCUCUUGAGCUGGACUUCCAGGCCUGGAGGCGGCGAGAGCGACUGCACAGCUGAUCGGCGGAACCUGCCAGCGAGGCGGCAGCGCUCGGCACUUAGAGAUGUAGCAGAUAUACCCAAUAUCUAUCGAGUAUUUAUUGAUAUAGACAUUACCCUGCGUAGAAUGGGCGAGCGAUGUAUGUGUGAAAGCUGACUCUGCUCGGUUAAGUUGGUGAGGUUAAAAAUUUACGCUAAGUUUUGGCCAGAGCUUUGUUAAAGGCCAGUUGUGGUUGCGAUGAUUGAAGUGUGUCUGCAUACAGAUAGAUAAUUAGGUACUAGUUAGUCCAUUAUUGGUACGGGCGCCAUGGUUGUAGGCACGCACACAAGAACAAAACACAAAUAUGAUGCUAGUCUUUAGGUGUUAAGGAAGAGCUGAAAACUCAGCGUAGUAUUGUAGAUCGUAGAGUUGUGAAUGAAGGGGUUGUUUGCGACUUUUACACAGUGCAUGAUGACUAGGUUUAAUGAUAAAGUGUGUAUAUAUCGUCUCCUAGAUUAUUUUCCGUCCGAUAAGCAUCUUAUUUUGAAGGUCACAUUUUGGCAGUGAGUUCGCUGCAUAUUAUUGUAUUGACAGCCUUAUUGGCUUCUUACGGUCGCAGAAAAAGUAUGUGACCCGCAAGGUGUUUAUUUGACGGCACUAAGUACGAUAAUUCCAGCAAAGCUAAGUACGUACUAAGUUUAUGAAAAGUCGCUUUUUGCACGAUAACUUUCCUGCAUAUCAGUAUGGUCUGAAUAUGUCAUGACCUUAAGUAGCCAUUCCAUGGGCUCUUUAAUUUUCGAAGACCAUUGGGGUGGCCAAACGGGGACGAGCACGGUUGAUGAUAUGACUAGGGAUAAACCGCCAAAUUUCAAAGACUUGGUUCUUGUUGAUGAUCUCGUGUAUGCUUAUACAGUCUGAAAAUCAAUGACUAAGAUAAUUGGGUGCCGUAAGGUGUCAAUUGUUACAAUAUUGUUACUUCAUACUAAUCACGUAUAGUUACUGGCCAAAAAGUCAUUGUGAAAACAACGUCUUUCAGCCGCUAGUCCACUGUUGUGUUUAACCGCUUGAUAAUUUGUUGUUUUGUACCUGAUCCUUGCUGUAUUUCUAUUUAUGUUUCAGUGUAUUUUGCCGGUUUUGUAAGUUCACCGUUCUGAUCUCCGUACUAGGCUGUCAGUUUGAUGUCACGUGGGGGGUAUUUAUUGUUUAUCGUAGACCUGUGUUAUAUUUAUGCGUAUUUUAUGCGCUAUGGAAGGUUUAUUUAGCACGUGUUCGUAGUAGCCAUAUUUACUUUGUACGUCCUUUAUGUCGCAUUUAUUCGGCUUACUAGGAUCUCCUAUUGCGGGCGAGAUGUAAUUCGUGUUUCUGAACAGCCACUGUUGACACUCUGUUUUGGUCGUGUUUAACAACUCUGCGUAGUGCUCAAAUAACGCUGGAGGCUUAGUACAGGGUGACCCGUCUGUUAUUAUUUAUUACCCUGAGCACAAGCGCCGGUUUUGUUUGAAGUGCAUGGAUGACUUAUCGCAGACACAGCCGAAUCUCUCCUGAUCUCGAAUCUCGGUCCCGCAGCUCUCCUUCAUAAGGACGUCGCGUCGCCGCCGUUGGCUUGUGUACAUAGUAGGUUAACUGGCUCCCGUCCUGCGGGGCGCUGGGACGCGGCGGUCCGCCGGCGCGGGGCAUUGACGCCGCCCCAGAGGAGCCGAGACCAGUAUCGGGCUCUGCGCAGCCCGCGGGGGGGGGGGAGUGCGUGUGUGAGGUCACACAGGGGGGGGGGGCAGGGAGCGAGCACCUGCGGGGGCUCGGCGGAGGCGCGCCGGUCAGCCGCACCCUCCUCUCUGGUCGGCAGGCACGGGACCACGCGCGUCUUACGGCCGGGCCCGCCCGAGAUGGGCCGAGCGUGUGAGAGCGCCGGCGACCGGCCCGCGCCGCCGGGCCCCCGCCAGUGAUAUUGCCUAGUUAUAGAGAUACUCCGCCGGCCGCUGCGGAGUGCCAUUAGUCUAAUGUAGAGCGGCGGUCACUGGUUGGCCCGGCCGCCGCCAGGUGGCAGCACCGCCGCGCGGCCCGCGCGCUGCGGCAGCACCUCUGCACCCGCGCUCCUCUGCCCCGGCGCCGCCUGGCGACCACAAGCAUAUCACAGUAGAGCAGCCGUCUCCGACCGAGCCCAACUGUCCUCAGAUCAAACGGUGGUCCUGUGCCCUCCUGGCGCCCUCCAGUCCCUCAGAGCGCCCUCCCGUCCCUCCGAGCGCCCUCCCGUCCCUCGCGCCGCUCCUCGCUCUCUCCUCGCCGACUCUCUGUCUCUCUCUGCGCCGGCAGCUGACCACCUCAUGACAGGGUAUUGAUGUGUGGUGAGUGACGAGGUCAGGUCGUGUCGGGCCGGCGCCGCUCGUCGCUCCGCACCCCACCGAUUGGUGACUGACUGACCGGCCAUCCACAGAUGCUGCGGCGGCCGCUUGCGUAUUGUAUAAAUACUCUUUAUAACAAAAUAUACUCGGCCAAGUGCAACAA
rnacentral:misc_RNA from 1 species